GUCUAUGGCCAUACCACCCUGAACACGUCUGAUCUAGGUUGCUAAGCAGGGUCAGGACUGGUUAGUACUUGGAUGGGAGAUGGCAAGGGAAUACCAAGAGCUGUAAGCU
rnacentral:rRNA from 1 species